UACGUAGGGCGCAAGCGUUAUCCGGAAUUAUUGGGCGUAAAGAGCUCGUAGGCGGUUUGUCGCGUCUGCCGUGAAAAGUCCGGGGGCUCAACCCCCGGAUCUGCGGUGGGUACGGGCAGACUAGAGUGAUGUAGGGGAGACUGGAAUUCCUGGUGUAGCGGUGAAAUGCGCAGAUAUCAGGAGGAACACCGAUGGCGAAAGCGGCUCACUGGACCAUAACUGACGCUGAUGCACGAAAGCUAGGGGAGCAAACAGG
rnacentral:rRNA from 1 species